rnacentral:tRNA from 1 species
GAGGUGAUAGCCCAGUGGUUGUGCUAGUGUGUGAAGUGCAGUAGGUCUUGGGUUCGACCCCAAGCUACCCCU